AAAGGGAACCCCAGGGCUGAGCACUUAAAGCAGCGCCUCGUGCCCAGCAAGCCCCCGAGCGUUCGCUCGUGGCUGAGCAGCGGGUGGACGUCAUCCCGGGAUGCGUCUGCAUCCUCGCUGGCUGAACUGGCCGAACUCCGUCUUCCUUGGUCUGGCCGCGGCGCCCCGCUGGGCGGUGUGGUGGCAGCCGGCCGCCCUGCCGGAGGCACUGAGGCAGGACCGGAGGCUGGCGGGGCGGCCCCGUGUGCGGGCGCGACAGGAGACGUCACAGGAGUGUGCCCUCCGCUGCCGCGUCCAGGACCUCUCCCGUCCGUCAGCUCCUUGCACGGGUGUGCGCCUCGUGGCCACGCCGACCGUUGGCCCCACCUGUCGUCGUGGCUCUUUGAAGACCUGCGAGCGUAACUGCUUCACAAGUGCCCUCACCCGCAGAAGCAGGGUGGGGUGUCGAGCUGGACUGAAAUGGGGCUGCCCUGUGCACAGCGGCUGGAGGCGGGGCCCUGGCCUGUUACUGUCCCCAGGAACUGUGGCGUCGCAGCCGAGUGAACAGCGAAGGGCCGUGAAGGCCCCUGCUUAGGUGUCCCUAAGGUGCCGGGCUUGCCCCUUCUGCCACUGCAGACGCCGUCCCGGCGGCCCUGGGCCCGUGGGUGAAGUGGCUGUGAGCAGGCCUGGGAGGCUGGCGGCUGCACAGCGGCCGAGGAGGAGGAGGAGGAGGAGGAGGGCCCCGCUCCGGCUUCUCUCGGGAGCAGCUGGUGGACGGCCUCCCAGGCUGGGCUCUUGCCAGCACGGAGACCAGCACCCGAGCCUCUGCUUCGGAGCCCGCCGCUGGCCUUUCGUCGCUGGCGGGUAGUUAACAGCAUUUCUCAGGGACAGUUCCCUCCGUGAGCUGACAGCAGCUCCUGGCACGCGAGCGGGGUCGGCGUCACCAGGACCAGCUGAGCACGUGCCGGGCGUUCUCGCAGACGGUCUUCGGUGUUCAUUCUCAACGCCGUGGGCUAGGUACGACUGCCCCACUUUACGGCACUGUAUGGCAUGCAGGAUCUUAGCUCAACAACCAGGGAUCGAACGAUCGAACCCGCGCCCCCUGCAGCAGAAGCUCGGAGUCUUAACCACUGGACCGCCAGGGAAGUCCCUUCCUCUAAUAUGGAAACACAUAAAAAUGCAAGUGCUUAUCCCUGUA